rnacentral:rRNA from 1 species
GCAUAUCAAUAAGCGGAGGAAAAGAAACUAACAAGGAUUCCCCUAGUAACGGCGAGUGAAGCGGGAAGAGCUCAAAUUUGAAAGCUAUCGUCUUCGGCGAUCGCAUUGUAAUCUCGAGAACUGUUUUCCGCGCUGGACCAUGUACAAGUCCCUUGGAAUAGGGCGUCAUAGAGGGUGAGAAUCCCGUACUUGACGUGGCCGCCCAGCGCUUUGUGAUACAGCCUCAACGAGUCGAGUUGUUUGGGAAUGCAGCUCAAAAUGGGUGGUAAAUUCCAUCUAAAGCUAAAUAUUGGGGAGAGACCGAUAGCGAACAAGUACCGUGAGGGAAAGAUGAAAAGCACUUUGGAAAGAGAGUUAAACAGUACGUGAAAUUGUCAAAAGGGAACCGCUUGAAGUUAGUCAUGCUUGCCUGAACUCAGCCUUGCUUUUGCUUGGUGUACUUUCAGGUUCGCAGGUCAGCAUCGGUUUUGGCUGUUGGAUAAGGGUGUUUGGAACGUGGCACCCUCGGGUGUGUUAUAGCCUUUCACUGGAUGCAACAGCUGGGACCGAGGAACGCAGCGCGCCUUUAUGGCGGACCUUCGGGUACCUUCGCGCUUAGGAUGCUGGCGUAAUAGCUUCAAGCGACCCGUCUUGAAACACGGACCAA